CCUACGGGAGGCAGCAGUCGAGAAUCAUUCACAAUGGGGGAAACCCUGAUGGUGCGACGCCGCGUGGGGGAAUGAAGUUCUUCGGAUUGUAAACCCCUGUCAUGUGGGAGCAAAUUAGAAAGAUAGUACCACAAGAGGAAGAGACGGCUAACUCUGUGCCAGCAGCCGCGGUAAUACAGAGGUCUCAAGCGUUGUUCGGAAUCACUGGGCGUAAAGCGUGCGUAGGCUGUUUCGUAAGUCGUGUGUGAAAUGCGCGGGCUCAACCCGCGGACGGCACAUGAUACUGCGAAACUAGAGUAAUGUAGGGGGAACCGGAAUUCCAGGUGAAGCAGGGAAAUGCGUAGAUAUCGAGAGGAACACGAGAGGCGAAGGCGGGUUACUGGACAUUAACUGACGCUGAGGCACGAAGGCCAGGGGAGCGAAAGGGAUUAGAUACCCCUGUAGUC
rnacentral:rRNA from 1 species